CAGGGUCUGACGACUGCCCAAACCAAACCGUGAACCGUUUCCAAAAACACACGAAUGCCUUGGCGGGCCGCUCGCUGGGGGAGCCGUGGGCCGCGCAGGGAGUAAUCCCUCGCGGUGGCUCGCCGAAGGCAUUGCAACUAAACUCUUUUAACAAAACUUUCUGAGUGUUUGAUUUUCCUUACGGAAAUAAAAUCAUCA
rnacentral:misc_RNA from 1 species